CUUGGAAGCUUCUUUAGAAUGAUGUUCUAAAUCAGUUACAUGCUCACAAGAUGUGAUUUCUCAUUGCUUCUGCAAAGGAACAACAUGCUCACAGAUUCACAGAAUUGGUGAGGUUGGAAGGGACCCCUGGAGAUCAUCUAGUCCAACUGCCUUAUUUUGCUGAACUUCAUGAGAUUCUUGUCUGCCUGCUUCUUCAGCCUGUUGAGGUCUCUCUGAAUGGCAGCACAACCAACUCCUCCCAAUCUGUAUGUCUUGCAAACUUGCUGAGGGUGCACUCCACCCCUUCAUCCAACUCUUUAAUGAAGAGAUUAAACAGUACUGGACCCUGUAUUGACCUCUGGGGUCCAGCACUAGUGACUGGACUUCAUGCCACUCACUGCAAGCCUCUGCACCUCUGGCAAGUUCAGUUUUCAACACACCUCGUUGUCCCCUUUCCUAGGCCAUGUUUCAUCAGUUUGUCUGUGAGGAUGUAAUGGGAGACAACGCUGAAAGUCUUUACUGAGAUCAAGAUAAACAACAUCCAUAUCAUCACAGGCCAUCAGGUUGUUCAGGCAUGAUUUCUGCUGACUACUCUCAAUCACCCUCUUGUCCAUCAUAUGUUUCACAUGUUUUUUUGGGAUCAUUUGCUCUAUCUCCUUUGAAGGGAUUGAGGUAAGACUGACUGGCCUGCAGUUCCACAGAUUCUCCUUCUUGCCCUUUUGAACAUGACUGACAGGAAACCCCCAGUUGCCAUGAAUUUUCAGUUAUCAAAAGUGGCCUCAUAAUGACUUCAGCCAGCUCAUUCAGCGCUCGCAGGGUGCAUCCCAUCAGGUCCCAUGGACUGUAUGUCCAAUUUGUUUAAAUGUUCCCUAACUUGGUCCUCACUUCUGACUGAAUUUUUGCAAGGCGUUCAGCCAAAGAUGGAAGACCUCACAUCAAACAUAGUCUGUCAAAUUGCAGCCAACUUAAAUCUGGUGCUUUGGAUGGAAGAUGUCUUGUAACAAGUGAUGCUGUCGGAAAUGUGGAAGAUUUCGUAUGAUAAUAUGGUGCUGUUUUAUUAUCUGGGUUUUCAAAUUACUCCCAUAGUGAUGUUUUAGGUAUUUAUUCUUCUUUUAUUGAUACUUGCAUGAAACCACAUGUGAACUAUAUAUAAUGGCAGUCAUGUAAGCACACCUUCACUGUCCUCCCUUCAGUGAACCACGAGGUCUGAGAAUUAUGUGGGAUUAUAUUGUUUUAUUGCCAAAGUGACUAAAGGCUGAGCCUUUCUUCACUGUGACCUGUGUUCUUGCUUUGCUUUUAAAAUAAAUAAUACCACAAAUAUUGACAGAAGAAAAUUUAGGCUCAGUUCAGGGAAAUCCCCUAGUUGCACGAAAGGACUUUGGGAUACACUUGACAUGAGGAAUUUCUUUGAUGAUAUAAAGUUACUGGCAUUGGAUCAUUGGCAGGUGUGUUUGGCGUGAAUGUGGCCAGAAUGAUACUUCACCUUAGGGAUUACCAGCUCUUGGACUUGCCUUUUCCAGUUGCGCAGAACUGAUCCCAUAUUAAAGAACUGCAGGUAGUUCACCAUGGAUGCAGCUAAGAGUCUGGCCCUAUAAAUCUAAUCUUUCUAAUCAGAUAAUCUGAUAAAUGUCCCUGCUGGAAGUGCAGGAGAAUGCUGGGUAGAAGGGAACAGCUGGGAUCCUUUUAACGUCUAAUUGCCUCAUGUGUGCUGUUAUUUGCAUUUAUGAUAUAGCCAACAGUUGGACAGUGCAGUGCACAGGCCACCUUUAAACACUGGUUUAGUCCUGCCAGGAAAGGGAAGGAGGGUCAUUAAUCCUUGACUGUAUUUGUGGGCACAGUAUCCCACAAUCACAAUGCAAACCUACUCACCAUUAUUCUAACACUGCUAAUUGGGGGGAAUUCAGCAGACAUGUCUGGUAUUCUCUGAGGUCCAGCUGGUAUCCAAUUUCCAGCAGUUUGCAGAGAAACACGAAGGUCAAGUAACUUCACCAAGGUUACACCAUAAGUGGCUCAGCUGGGAUUAGGACCCAGAUUGUCCUUGCUCCUAAUCUUUUGCCUUAUUAAUCACUGUAGGCUCUUCCUGCAAAUACCUAACAAGUUCAUAUUUGCUGAUCUACAAACACAGUGUUAUGGUCAAAGUCACUUAAUCUGGGGAAACUAGAUUUCACGAGAAGGGAGAUAAUGAAAUAGUAUUAGCAAAGCUAACUCGUAACUGAAAUGGAAAAUAAUUAAGACUGGAUUUUGCUUAUGGGACCUGUAAUUUUAAUGGCAGUGUUCUACUUCUCUUGAUCUCUCAUUUCUCAAAACUGUGCACACCUGGCCACUCUCCCUUAUCAGCUGUCGAUACAUAUGCUAUUGAGGAGCAUGAUAUUUCCUGAGCUUUUUUGAAUCUGUAUUAACUUUAGUAUAUAUUCUUUGAUAUAAAUAUCAAAGAUAUUGGCUGACUGGCAGAAACAGUAACAAGGUGGCUGUCACAUGGUUUAUUUGUCCUUUUGUAAAACUUUCUGUGAUGCAAAUACUGCAGCAUUUGGGACUAUAAAAUUGUUAAAUGUAGCUGUUCUACUCAUCUCUUGUGUGGGAUGGAGUAUUCCAUCUUUAAGAGGAAAACCAGCAACAGAAUUUUUAGUUAGGAUGAGGAAACCUCCUGACUUUCCAUAUCUCUAACUGAAAACCACAUUCAGUAUUAUGGAACAUGAAACAGUUUAUAGUGCCAGAUGGUUUUAAUUAAAGGCUUAGUUUCCCCAAUACAAAGACACUUCAUUACAAACCAACAAACAAGUUCACACCAGUAGUCUGCUCUGUUUCUGUAAACAGGAAUGGGUAGAAUGCACAUGUCUGGAGAACUGCUUGGAAAGCCUCAUGGGACACAGAACUAAAAUAAUAGCUAACACAUCUCACAUGGAUUAAGGAGCCAGAAAAACAAAAAUGUCUUUUUUUAGCCUGUUGUUAAACUACAUCAACAUAGUGUAACUGAUCUCCUUCCAUUAGGCAGUGAAAUCCAAAGCCACGGGGCACAAUUAAAAGGCAACCUGACACCUGCUGUUUCCAACACAUCUUUUGAAAUAGCUAGAAAGAGACUAUGUGUCUUAUCAAGGGAUUGAGGACGGUAUAUGAAGGGUUUUCCAUUGUAGGUUCCUGCUUCAGAGUUAGCCCAGUACUAUAUGGCCUGGACUCCCGCAUAAAGGGAGUUCCAUCUCUAUCUCCAGCCUUCAAAAGUUGCCACCCGAUAUUAAUAAUCUCAGAAAAAGUGCCAAAGAUGAAUGAAUAUGGAAGUGGGACUCAUUUGCAGUGUGAUUAUAGAAGAUUAAAUGCAAUGACACAGUUGUGGGGCUACACAGAGAAACUUCUGUUGUGCCACUGCCUUUGCCAGACGCGAACUGCAGUAGAGGACCCACUGGCUAAAGAUUCAAAAUGCAAGAUGACAUAAUAAGAAUAAGAAUUAUUGAUUAUAUUAAACCAACAGAUUUUUAGAUUUUUGCCUAAGAAUAAUGGUUUACAGUCCAUUUGAAACCUUUCAGGGAGCCAAUGAAACAGAUUAAAAUUGGAUAAAAGAGAAGAGAUUUCCGUCAAUGUCUAACUUGAUACCAUGAUGAGAUAUUGGGUCAGCUGGAGACCUUUUCAGAGCAAUUUCUAGAAGACCCAGAUAAAACUCAGCAUGUGGUGAUAUAGCAAAUAUACAAAAAAGUACAAAGGUAUCUGAGUAAAAGAAAGGAAUUUAUUUUGCCAUUAGAUUCAGGAUGGUAGGGAUUUCAUUAGGAGAGGUUUAUCAGCAGAGUCUGAUAAGUUACCAUUGUUCAAGCAGCAGAGAGGAAACAAGUUGUGUCCAAUUCAGCACAGAGAUAUUUCCAUGAUUUCCACAGAAUUCAACAGGAAGCAAAUGCUCAUACCUGAAUGUUGUUUACUUUUCCCAUUGGAUUUUGGUUUGAAGUGUAUGUGUAUCUAAGGUUAAAAUGCAGGAAGUCACAUUGAAAUUCAUGAGAAAACCAUUGUAUUAGAAAUGACACCCAGUUCUUGAAAAAGAAACUCAAGAAUUUCCUAGUAGGUAUCAAAGAAGGUACAAAGCUGUUGGUCUGUAGAGUAAGAUAAAGAAAUACUUUAAGCUAAUAUAUUAGCUUAUAGUAUUAUUCAUUGCAGAACAAAUUAAUCUCAUAAAGAACUAAUUCUUUUAGGACCCUCAUGAGCAUACACCUUCAUGAUGGAUAAACUAAGGCAGAGAGGUUAAACAACCUGACCUGAAGUGUGCAGAUAUGUACAUGGGCCCCUAGGUGGUAAAAACUCAUGAGAGGGCUCUACUGACAGAUACUCAUAACUAUUAGAAAUGCAAAAAUGGACAGAAGUUAUGGUCUUAUAGAAUAAAUAAUGCCACGUCUUAUGUUACAGCAUAGAACAAUGUGAUGACUUUAAAUAUUUCAGUUUGUGUAUCUAUAUCUUCCAAAAGGGAAAUUAGCACCCACCUUGCUAAAGAAAAUGAGAGCAGUACUCAGGAUGUAUUUUGUAAUGUUGCAUCGGAAAACCAGUAUGUGCAAUGCUCUGUGGUUUCUAGUUUGUUUACCACCAAGA